UGGGUCGGCAAGACGAUCGCGGCACGCGUGCGUGACGAGGAACGUCCGGGCUCCACAGAGCAGGGCGGUGGGUAACUCCCACCCGGGGCAACCCGCGAGAAAGUGCAACAGAGAGUAAACCGCCUCCCGAGAGAUCGGGCGGUAAGGGUGAAACGGUGGUGUAAGAGACCACCGGCGGCGCGGGCAACCGUGUCGGCCAGGUAAACCUCGCCCGGAGCAAGGUCAGACAGAAAACGUUCGAAGGCUGCUCGCCUGAGUUUUCGGGUAGACCGCUAGAGCGUCGUGGUAACACGCCGCCGAGAUAGAUGGUCGUCCAAGGUCUGUUUCAGACCCCAACAGAACCCGGCGUAUCAGCUGGCCCAUUCA
rnacentral:RNase_P_RNA from 1 species